GUUUACGCAUACAACUUGGUUUUACAUUAUCAAUAUUAUAAAAUCUUCAAUGAUAAUACUUAUAUUUUUUUAAUGGAAGAACUAGACAAAAUGUCAUUGUUUUACAUGCGGUAAGUAUGAUUUUAUGAUUUUAUUGUUUUAUAUAAUAUGUCUGAAAACAUGUUGGCAACUUUUUUACGAUUACGGUUUUUUUAAAUAGAAUAUUGAAGUCUUUUAAAAUCAAACUAAAGCCGUUUACCUACAAUUAGAAGAAAGUAGUUUCAGAAAUAUAUGAAUCAUUUUUUAAAGUGAUACAAUAUGCUAAAAAAUGUACGAAACAGUGAAAUACAUUUGAGAUUUAAGAAUACCCUCAAUAUAGUCUUUUCAUUUUGUUAUGUCACACUUGAAACUAAAACUGUAGGAAUAAGAUGCAUUGACUCUGGUCUUGCAUUUGGGUGAUCUGGAGAAGUUAAAAUGCCAUGUUUUAGUUGAUGCCUGACUCAAAGUUUCUUUUGAAAAAAAUAUCUACACAUUUUGCAACAUUGCUCAAUUGUUUAUGCAAACAGAAUGAGUCGUUAAUGGUAAUAGCACAAAAUGUCUUUAUUUUUAUAUCAGUUAAACCAAUUCGUUGAAGAAAAAAACCAAGAUCGAAAUGGCAUAUAGAUAAAAAAAACAAACAAUUAAAAAAUUUCAGAAAACACGACAUAGAAAAGUAGAUUGAGCGACGCGUAUCAAACCAAAAACCCUGUAUGAACGCCUGGGUUACGAAUAGUUAAUGAAUUUGUGUUCAACUUUUUUUUUUAUACAAACAAAAGUGGUAAUAAGUUACAUUCGAUGAUGUCACAAUAGCAAAAGACGAUGGAAUGAUAUUACAAAUAGAUAUUAUCAGUGGCCAUGAGAUUUGCAUAUUUGUCAACCAAAUCAGGAUGUCGUCGUAAAACGUUCGAAGGUUGACUAGGACUUGAUCAUUGGGUUUAUAGUUUCGUUGUCAGCAGCAACCCGUCAUCAAGGAACUCUUUGUAGUAAUCGAAGCUCUGGGAUAACGUAUCGACUUGAAGAUAAAUAAUGGAUAUACGGACGCUGUUGGUAUGCUACUACAUUUACCUGGUAUAUUUAGUCUUUCAAUACAUGCGAAAAAAUACAAAAGGGACGUUCAAACGCAUAAAAGUAAUCCUAUAAAUAACAUAUACUUUUUAUGACGUUGCUGUAUCUAAUUAUCUCUACAUUACAGCCACCAACAUCAGAGUGUAGGACAUCACGAUUCCGUGUUAGCAGGUCGCAUCAAGAGAGUUGAGACAUAAUCCAAUUUACAAAUCAAACUCAAAAUUCUUGAUAACAAGAACAAAUGAAGAAGGUCUGUUGGAUUUUUCCGAACACUAUAUAUAAAA